CACCACUCAAGCCUCGCUUGGUAUUGGGCGACGCGGUCCGCCGCGCGCCUUAAAUCGACCGGCUCGGUCGAUCGCACCCUCAGCGUUGUGGAAACUAUUCGCUAAAGGAGUUGUGGUCGGUCACGCCGUGAAACAAACCAAUUUUCAAU
rnacentral:misc_RNA from 1 species